rnacentral:lncRNA from 1 species
GGAAGAAGUCAAUACUCCCUGUAAGGCCCAUGGACCAAGGUGGAGAGACGUGGUGACUCCCCAGGGGAAAGAGAAGAGGCCUGAGAGCCAAGGAAGAGUGAACGGAGAUAGCUGGUGGCAGAAAGAGCUGAGGGCCACUUCAGAGGAUGAAUGAAGCCUUCUGACCUGUGAGUUCUCAGAUUCCUUGGAGUGGCUCAGGAAAACCCCAAAUCUGGGGUUGUAGAUAAAAGAACUGGUCGGAACCCCUCAGACCUUCUUCAAACGGGACUCUGCUUUGUCCUGUCUAGAAGCAAGUAGAUUCCUAGUGAGAAUGAGGGACUCUGUGAGAAUCCAGAUGUAAACGUAUCUGUCUAGGUGUCCGUGUUCACAGCCUUGUGUGCUGACCCUAUGGUUUUCUUUUCCCUUUUGGGGGGCUGCCCCAAGGCACAUGGAGUUCCCCAGGCCAGAUCUGAGCCACAGUUGUGACCUCUGCCACAGCUUCAGCAACGCCAGAUGCUUUAACCCACUCUGCUGGGCUGGGAUAGAGCCUGCGUCCCGGUGCUGCAGAGAUGCUGCCAAUCCCACUGUGCCACAGUGGGAACUCAAUUAUAGUUUUGAAAAUCUUAGUCUUUGUUAUAGGUACAAAAUUAGAAUGAUGGAGUUCCCGUUGUGGCUCAGUGGGUUAAAAACCCGACAUAGUGUCUGUGAGGGUGUGAGUUCAAUCCCUGCCCUUACUCAGUGGGUUAAGGAUCUGGCAUCGCCGUGAGCUAUGGUGUAGGUCGCUGAUCCAGUAUUGGUGUGGCUCAGAUCCAGUGUUGCUGUAGCUGUGGUGUAGGCCUGCAGCUGCAGCUCCGAUUUGACCCCUAGCCUGGAAACUUCCAUAUGCCACAGGUGCGACCAUAAAAAUAAAAAAGUAAAUAAAAUUAGAAUGUCUCAGGGUCGUGUGUGUGUGUGUGUGUGUGUGUGUGUGUGUGUGUGUGUGUAUUUGUCAUAUAUGGGGAUUGAAAAUGCUGUUACGAGGGCAAGAAUGAGCAUAUAAAUGUCCUUAUUGUGACCUUAAUAACAUUUGGGUGGUGCUCAUGUGCUUUAGGCUGGACAGAAAAGCUGGUUUUAGAAACGAGUAAGUUUUGUUCUUGAUAAUGAUUUUUUUUUUUUAGCUUGAAUAUAAUAUUGUCAGGUUUUACCACAAUACUAGACAGCCUAAGGAAAUUUGAUGAGAUGUUUGAGAACCUUAACUGAUGGGGGAAAUAAAUAUACUAAGAUCGAGAUUUUUUUCAGUAAUAAUUUUUUGCCUGGAACCUUUUCAUUGUUGUUUUUUUUAUUUGUUUGGAUUUUUUGGCCAUGCCCGAUGCAUGCAGAAUUUCCUUGGUCAUGUAUCGAACCCAUGCCACAGCAUGACAAUGCCAGGUCCUUAUCCCACUGAGCCACCAGAGAACUCCACUUUGCUUGGAAUCUUGAUUCAGUGCGAAGACUCAUUUGCUGAUUUGUGAGGGCUUCCAGGCUGUGUGUGUUCUGUUCAGUACCAUUGGCUUUGUCAUUCAAAGCACACUCAGUUCACAUUCAGAGAAAACCUUCGUUCUGGUUUUCGGACCUUUGUAGUAAGGAUUUUUGGGUUGUGAAAGGCAGAAUCCCAUCUCAGACUCGCAGAAGCAAGAGGAUUUGUUGCAACGCAGAACCAUCAAAGUCGUGGCUGUUAUUAGAGAUGACACGAUGCUGGUAGGACUGUGUCUCUCGGCGUGGUAUUGGGUUUUGUCUUCUAGUAGACACGAUUUUACCCUGUAAGCAAGGAUGUAACAUUGGAAGCUCCAGACUCCCUUCCUGCCUUCUUUGAUAACAGAGAUAAAAGGCUCUUCCUUCCCAUUCGCCCAUUCUAAUAACAGUUCAAAGAACCAUGAGAACAGUUCUUAAUUGACCUGCUUAGUUCAUCCAUCUUUUGGACCAGUCUCUAUGGACAAGGAUGAAGUAGGGUGGUGAAUCGGUUUGGGUCAAAUAUGUGUGUCGAGGAUGGGCGGCUAGUGUGGUUAUGGUAGGGGAAGGGCAGGACUGUUCAGAAGAACUCACAAAGGGAUGCAAGCAAGCCAGUUAUCAGUGGGAACCGCUGACUUCCAUUAUACAAGAUGCUUGUAAGGGUGUCUCUUUGCCCUUCCCCCACAACAUGCCCCAGAAAGCUGACAUCUCAGAGAGAUGAGCCCCUUUUCAUAGCCUCUGGCUUCCCCAUGAAGUAAUGGCACCUUGCUUAGGCAUAGAUUCAGCUAAAGGAUGGCACAUGGUGGAAAGUUCAGAGAGCGACAGUCUUGGAGUUCCUGUUGUGGCUCAGCAGCUAAUGACCCAAUGAAUGUACAUGAGUACACGGAUUUGAUCCCUGGCCUCGCUCAGUGGGUUAAGGAUCAGGCGUUGCUGUGACCUGCAGUGUAGAUCGCAGAUGUGGCUCAGAUUCCACAUUGCUGUGGCUGCGGCAUAGACUGGAGGCUACAGCUCCGAUUGGACCCCUAGCCUGGGAACCUCCAUAUGCCGUGAGUGCAGCCCUAAAAAUACAAAAAGACAAAANAAAAAAAAAAAAAAAAAAA